GUCAAAAUAAGAACUUAUCGAAUAGAUCUAUAUAAAUAGAAUCUGCCAGGUGGCAGAAA
ncrna:unclassified sequences RAGATH-30 RNA